rnacentral:rRNA from 1 species
GUGCCAGCCGCAGCUGCGGUAAUACGGAGGGUGCAAGCGUUAAUCGGAAUUACUGGGCGUAAAGCGCACGCAGGCGGUCUGUCAAGUCGGAUGUGAAAUCCCCGGGCUCAACCUGGGAACUGCAUUCGAAACUGGCAGGCUGGAGUCUUGUAGAGGGGGGGUAGAAUUCCAGGUGUAGCGGUGAAAUGCGUAGAGAUCUGGAGGAAUACCGGUGGCGAAGGCGGCCCCCUGGACAAAGACUGAUGCUCAGGUGCGAAAGCGUGGGGAGCAAACAGGAUUAGAUACCCUGGUAGUCCACGCCGUAAACGAUGUCGACUUGGAGGUUGUGCCCUUGAGGCGUGGCUUCCGGAGCUAACGCGUUAAGUCGACCGCCUGGGGAGUACGGCCGCAAGGUUAAAACUCAAAUGAAUUGACGGGGCCCGCACAAGCGGUGGAGCAUGUGGUUUAAUUCGAUGCAACG